rnacentral:rRNA from 1 species
UACGUAGGGGGCAAGCGUUGUCCGGAUUUAUUGGGCGUAAAGAGCGUGUAGGCGGCUUUACAGGUCCGUUGUGAAAACUCGAGGCUCAACCUCGAGACGCCGGUGGAAACCGUAAGGCUAGAGUCCGGAAGAGGAGAGUGGAAUUCCUGGUGUAGCGGUGAAAUGCGCAGAUAUCAGGAAGAACACCCGUGGCGAAAGCGGCUCUCUGGGACGGUACUGACGCUGAGACGCGAAAGCGUGGGGAGCAAACAGG